rnacentral:rRNA from 1 species
CAGCCGCCGCGGGAAUACGUAGGGUGCAAGCGUUAAUCGGAAUUACUGGGCGUAAAGCGUGCGCAGGCGGUUAUAUAAGACAGAUGUGAAAUCCCCGGGCUCAACCUGGGAACUGCAUUUGUGACUGUAUAGCUAGAGUACGGCAGAGGGGGAUGGAAUUCCGCGUGUAGCAGUGAAAUGCGUAGAUAUGCGGAGGAACACCGAUGGCGAAGGCAAUCCCCUGGGCCUGUACUGACGCUCAUGCACGAAAGCGUGGGGAGCAAACAGGAUUAGAUACCCCAGUAGUCCCUGUCUCUUAUAU